UUGAAUAAACUUGGUUGGGUUGAUGCUGGCUCCUAGGAGCAUGUGCACGCUCACUCCAUUUUUAACCACCUGUGCACCUUGUGUAGAUCUGAACAACUCUCGAGGAAACUCGGAUAGAGAAUUGCUACGCCUAAAAAGCCAGCUUUUCUUGAGUUCAGAUCUAUGUCUUCAUAUACACCAUAAGAAUGUAUUGGAAUGUAAUUGACAGGCGUUACUGCCUUUAAAAUCAAAUA
rnacentral:misc_RNA from 1 species